ensembl:lncRNA
GCAGAAAGUAGCUAAUAUCAGUGUAUUAAGACUGUAGAAGUCUUUUAGCUGUUUGUAGUAAACUGUAUUUUAGAUAUAUUUUAUUAUAAGGCGUUAAUGUAGAUUCAUAGGCUCUGUAUGAACAGUAUUUUGUGUGUUACAGAUGAUUAAUCUCUCAGGAAGGUUUGGAGGACACCUGAGGAAAACAUGGCCAGUGAUAUCGAAGAUGACAUUCUUGACGAUGACUCUCUGACAGCCCAGAAUGACACUUGGGAUGAAGAGCUGAACGAUGACCUUUUGUGUAGCGACGAGGAUGAUCCAACCAGCAGUGGUGUGAGCUCACAUCUGGAACAUGGGGCCAAGGCUGAGGCCGUACAUCUGGCUGAGGAAGCGAGAGAGCAGCCGGCAGAUGACGAAGAUGUUUUCGACGUCCAAAUCAAUGAACCUCUAGGUGAUGCAUUUCAAGAUCCGUCCGGACAGCAGGAGGAUGGUGAACGCCGUAAAACUGAGACAGCAGACACCGUGAUACGCUUGUACACCAGUGACGUCAGCAGGAAUGCUGUAGAAGCUUGGAUGCGCAGCAGAGCCGAGUGACGGAGAAGGAGGUUCCUGCAGGAGAGGAACGUGGACGUAACUUCUGUACGC